GGUUAAGCGACUAAGCGUACACGGUGGAUGCCCUGGCAGUCAGAGGCGAUGAAGGACGUGCUAAUCUGCGAUAAGCGUCGGUAAGGUGAUAUGAACCGUUAUAACCGGCGAUUUCCGAAUGGGGAAACCCAGUGUGAUUCGUCACACUAUCAUUACGUGAAUACAUAGCGUAAUGAAGCGAACCGGGGGAACUGAAACAUCUAAGUACCCCGAGGAAAAGAAAUCAACCGAGAUUCCCCCAGUAGCGGCGAGCGAACGGGGAGCAGCCCAGAGUCUGAAUCAGCUUGUGUGUUAGUGGAACGGUCUGGAAAGUCCGACGGUACAGGGUGAUAGUCCCGUACACCAAAAUGCACAGGUUGUGAACUCGAAGAGUAGGGCGGGACACGUGGUAUCCUGUCUGAAUAUGGGGGGACCAUCCUCCAAGGCUAAAUACUCCUGACUGACCGAUAGUGAACCAGUACCGUGAGGGAAAGGCGAAAAGAACCCCGGCGAGGGGAGUGAAAAAAGAACCUGAAACCGUGUACGUACAAGCAGUGGGAGCAUCCUUUUGGGUGUGACUGCGUACCUUUUGUAUAAUGGGUCAGCGACUUAUAUUCUGUAGCAAGGUUAACCGUAUAGGGGAGCCGAAGGGAAACCGAGUCUUAACUGGGCGUUAAGUUGCAGGGUAUAGACCCGAAACCCGGUGAUCUAGCCAUGGGCAGGUUGAAGGUUGGGUAACACUAACUGGAGGACCGAACCGACUAAUGUUGAAAAAUUAGCGGAUGACUUGUGGCUGGGGGUGAAAGGCCAAUCAAACCGGGAGAUAGCUGGUUCUCCCCGAAAGCUAUUUAGGUAGCGCCUCGUGAACUCAUCUUCGGGGGUAGAGCACUGUUUCGGCUAGGGGGUCAUCCCGACUUACCAACCCGAUGCAAACUGCGAAUACCGAAGAAUGUUAUCACGGGAGACACACGGCGGGUGCUAACGUCCGUCGUGAAGAGGGAAACAACCCAGACCGCCAGCUAAGGUCCCAAAGUCAUGGUUAAGUGGGAAACGAUGUGGGAAGGCACAGACAGCCAGGAUGUUGGCUUAGAAGCAGCCAUCAUUUAAAGAAAGCGUAAUAGCUCACUGGUCGAGUCGGCCUGCGCGGAAGAUGUAACGGGGCUAAACCAUGCACCGAAGCUGCGGCAGCGACACUAUGUGUUGUUGGGUAGGGGAGCGUUCUGUAAGCCGUUGAAGGUGUAUCGUGAGGUAUGCUGGAGGUAUCAGAAGUGCGAAUGCUGACAUAAGUAACGAUAAUGCGGGUGAAAAACCCGCACGCCGGAAGACCAAGGGUUCCUGUCCAACGUUAAUCGGGGCAGGGUGAGUCGACCCCUAAGGCGAGGCCGAAAGGCGUAGUCGAUGGGAAACAGGUUAAUAUUCCUGUACUUGGUGUUACUGCGAAGGGGGGACGGAGAAGGCUAUGUUAGCCGGGCGACGGUUGUCCCGGUUUAAGCAUGUAGGCGGAGGUUCCAGGUAAAUCCGGUACCUUUUUAACGCUGAGGUGUGAUGACGAGGCACUACGGUGCUGAAGUAACAAAUGCCCUGCUUCCAGGAAAAGCCUCUAAGCAUCAGGUAACACAAAAUCGUACCCCAAACCGACACAGGUGGUCAGGUAGAGAAUACCAAGGCGCUUGAGAGAACUCGGGUGAAGGAACUAGGCAAAAUGGUGCCGUAACUUCGGGAGAAGGCACGCUGAUAUGUAGGUGAAGUGAUUUACUCAUGGAGCUGAAAUCAGUCGAAGAUACCAGCUGGCUGCAACUGUUUAUUAAAAACACAGCACUGUGCAAACACGAAAGUGGACGUAUACGGUGUGACGCCUGCCCGGUGCCGGAAGGUUAAUUGAUGGGGUUAUCCGUAAGGAGAAGCUCUUGAUCGAAGCCCCGGUAAACGGCGGCCGUAACUAUAACGGUCCUAAGGUAGCGAAAUUCCUUGUCGGGUAAGUUCCGACCUGCACGAAUGGCGUAAUGAUGGCCGGGCUGUCUCCACCCGAGACUCAGUGAAAUUGAACUCGCUGUGAAGAUGCAGUGUACCCGCGGCAAGACGGAAAGACCCCGUGAACCUUUACUAUAGCUUGACACUGAACACUGGUCCUUGAUGUGUAGGAUAGGUGGGAGGCUUUGAAGUGUGGACGCCAGUCUGCAUGGAGCCAUCCUUGAAAUACCACCCUUUAAUGGCUGGUGUUCUAACGUGGACCCGUUACCCGGGUUGCGGACAGUGUCUGGUGGGUAGUUUGACUGGGGCGGUCUCCUCCUAAAGAGUAACGGAGGAGCACGAAGGUUAGCUAAUCCUGGUCGGACAUCAGGAGGUUAGUGCAAAGGCAUAAGCUAGCUUGACUGCGAGAGUGACGGCUCGAGCAGGUGCGAAAGCAGGUCUUAGUGAUCCGGUGGUUCUGAAUGGAAGGGCCAUCGCUCAACGGAUAAAAGGUACUCCGGGGAUAACAGGCUGAUACCGCCCAAGAGUUCAUAUCGACGGCGGUGUUUGGCACCUCGAUGUCGGCUCAUCACAUCCUGGGGCUGAAGUAGGUCCCAAGGGUAUGGCUGUUCGCCAUUUAAAGUGGUACGCGAGCUGGGUUUAGAACGUCGUGAGACAGUUCGGUCCCUAUCUGCCGUGGGCGCUGGAGAAUUGAGGGGGGCUGCUCCUAGUACGAGAGGACCGGAGUGGACGCAUCACUGGUGUUCGGGUUGUCAUGCCAAUGGCAUUGCCCGGUAGCUAAAUGCGGAAGAGAUAAGUGCUGAAAGCAUCUAAGCACGAAACUUGCCCCGAGAUGAGUUCUCCCUGAGACUUUAAGUCUCCUGAAGGAACGUUAAAGACGAUGACGUUGAUAGGUCGGGUGUGUAAGUGUAGCGAUACAUUGAGCUAACCGAUACUAAUGAACCGUGAGGCUUAACCUU
rnacentral:rRNA from 1 species